rnacentral:rRNA from 1 species
UACGUAGGGACCAAGCGUUGUUCGGAUUUACUGGGCGUAAAGGGCGCGUAGGCGGCAAUUCAAGUCAUCUGUGAAAUCUCCGGGCUUAACCCGGAACGGUCAGGUGAUACUGUUUUGCUAGAGUGCGGAAGGGGCAAUCGGAAUUCUCGGUGUAGCGGUGAAAUGCGUAGAUAUCGAGAGGAACACCAGAGGUGAAGACGGGUUGCUGGGCCGACACUGACGCUGACAGCGCGAAAGCCAGGGGAGCAAGCGGG